rnacentral:lncRNA from 1 species
UGGACUUUCGCACGGGCUCAUCCCAUCCCAUUUCCCGUCCAUGGGUGACCACUGGGUGUAGGAGAUCAGCCCACGUGGGUAUGGGGAGGGGCUGUUGCUGCUGCUGCAGGUCCUGGAUUGCCCUCUUAUGCUGUCGGAUGCGCUCUGUCUCCUCCCGCUGUCGAAUUAAGUACGCCUUCAAGGAUAGAUACCUCUAUGAUCUUCAUUAUGUGAGUGUGCUUGAUUUGAUUUUUAAAAUUUGCUGCCAGCAUAAAUUCUCUAAAAUUAACUUAAAAUUGGUUGAUUGUCGGCAAAAUUGCUACUGA